CCAAUGCAUUCUAUAUCAAUUAAACUUUUGGUGUGGUGCGAGCAAUUUUUUAUUCUGGAAGUAUGGGGGGGGGGGGGAGAGAACCACUGAAUUAAACUGUCAUAAAUAAGAGCUGGUGGAAAGGAAGCAGAAUAUACCAACAUUAGGACCACAGGGUUGCAUCCAACUUAUGUCAUGCUCAAGUAUACCCACUGAAACCACUGCUUCAAAAUGCAAGGAGAUGGCAUAGAACUUCUAGGGGCGCUGGGGUUUUUGGCCCCCACAAUAAAUUAUUUGAGGGGGCCAAUCCCCCACAAAGUUGAUGGCCAUUCCCAUUCAAACAUGAUCGAUUAUGAAGGGUGGGGCUUACCUGGGCCCCCACAAUAUUUUAUUCAAGUCGGCACCCCUGGGAGACGGAUGCUCAGUCCGCAUUUUAGUCCAGCUUUACAAUCUUCCUGCCACUUCACCUUUAAGCAAACGAACAAAAAAAGCAACAACAAUUUAAAGCAAGUUUCAGAAAAAGUAGCCUGCAAGAGCAGGAAUGUAAUUGAGGUGGGGGGUUUUCUGGGGUGGGGGAGUUGCUUUUUUUAUUUCCGGGGUGUGUGUGUGGAAAGCGAGGCGAGGGCAAAGGCAAUAAAGGAAACACGCUCGUCUCCUCAGCACCGUCUUCCACAGUAACCAGGCGGCAAGUCCCCUUCGACUCAGUGGGCCUCCAAGUCAACGGAGAGCUGCCCCUGGCUUUCCUUUUACGUUUUAUCCAACUGGAAGGUUAGUCUAAGGCGCUGAGCUGACCGUUUCCCGGCUCGCGGCGAGGAAGCCGCGGACUCCGCUCUCCUCCCAAACGCCUCACACGCGCCGACAAGCCCACAGCCCCAACCUUCUCCGCGUCUCCCUCCGCUCCCGGCCUGUCCCUCGCCCGAGUCCCCGGGCCCCUCAGACCGACAGGCGUCCCGAAAGUGCCCCGCUCCGAGCAGCCGCCGGAUCUAGGCCAGCGCGCCGUCGCCGCGCGGUGUGGGCGGCCUCCGCUUCCCCUCAGCGAAGGCGGGCGCCUGCGUGCAAGAGGCGAGGGGGCGGCGGUUGAACUCGGCUACCGGCGCAAGGCUUCGAGGAAGGUGGUUGCUGGGCCUCCUUCCUCUUUUCCCUCAGCCUGGCGGGCCGUGGGGGGAAGGCUUUUGAGGGAGAGAGGGAGGGACGCGGGCAAGGAGGGGAGGAGGCAGGCAGGCAGAGCCGCUUUCUCCAGCGCCCCUGCACCAACGGCAGCAGGUAAAAGCCGACGAAAGCCGCCCGCUCCCAGCCACAUCCCCAACCCCUUCCCGCUCCCAAAUGGCCGCCUCCUCGGCUGCAGCCACCCCAGGUCUUUCCUUCCGUCCUUCCUUCCCGCUUCCGUCCCCUCACGGCUUCCUCCAUUCCCGGCUGUCACUGAAGGGCAGCCGGAGAAGGGGAGGAAGUGGCUCUUUUUGAGGCCUGCAACGUCAAAGGCCGCUCCUCUUCCACCCUCCUGCGCGCCCGUUUCUAGAAGCAGGUUGCGGGGAGGCGCUUCCUGGCGCCGCUGCUGCUGCUAGUUUGGUGGUUGCCGAGUUUCUCACCCUCAGCUGGUUUCCAAGAGGCGAGAGAGAGAGAGAGAGAGAGGACGGGAGCUGCUCAUGUGGGCGUUGUUUUCACCACCCCCUCCUAAUCUACUCAUAGGUGAAGCUAGUAGAACUUUUCCUUCCUUCCCUCCUCUUCUCCGACGCUCUUGUUUCUUUGCUCAAGCUGCUCGGUUUUCCUUAGUUGCCUCUCCACAAAACUUCAGUUCUGGCGUUUUAUGGUAGUUUCACUUUCAUAUCCCUCUUCUGGACAGUGGAAUCCUAUGCAUGUCUUCUCAGGAGUCAGUUCUGUUGAGUUUGGUGGGCCUUGUGACCAAAUAAGUUUUGUUUGUGUGUGUGUGUGUGUGUGUGAAUAUGUAUACAGUGGUACCUCGGGUUACAUACUCUUCAGGUUACAUACGCUUCAGGUUACAGACUCCGCUAACCCAGAAAUAGUACCUCAGGUUAAGAACUUUGCUUCAGGAUGAGAACAGAAAUCGUGCUCCGGUGGCACGGCGGCAGCAGGAGGCCCCAUUAGCUAAAGUGGUGCUUCAGGUUAAGAACAGUUUCAGGUUAAGAACGGACCUCCAGAACGAAUUAAGUACUUAACCCGAGGUACCACUGUAUAUACACACAUGCCUUACAGAUCCAUUCUAUACAUAUCUACUCAGUCCUAUUGAGUCCAGCACUGCUUAUUUCUAGGCAGUUGGAUACAGGAUUGUGGCCUUAGGCAAUAAUGUUUUCCCGUUGCCAAAUUCAGAAAUGAAGUUUUGUGACAUCUGCUUACUCAUCGUUUCUGUUCCUGCUUUUUUCUUUUUUUAAACCAAACUAGAAGCUGCCUCCUAAGUACUGAGAACACCCUAUUGUUUAGAGAACAGUUUGAGAUUACACGAACCUUGUAGUUCCCCAAUUUUCAGAUUCUCUUUUUUAAGUGUGGUUUGAUUUCUCUCUAGUAUAUUAAGUCUACAUAUGGGAUAAUAGCACAAUCAAUCCCCUUCGUAAAGUGGCUUAAGGUGUUUUGAAUUGUGGAAGACUUUAUUGAAAGACAUGGAGUUGUCAUGCUUACAAGUCCCUAGUUUAGUGCCUAUGAGUUGAUGGGUUAAUUUGUAUGGACUAGGAUUUUUAUUUUUAAAAACCCAUGCAACUACGGUAGUUUUGUGUCUUCUGGGCCUAUAUUCUAGGUGAAGUACUCCCUAUUAUAUAGCAAAUCAUGAAAUUUCAGGGACUUUCAAAAGUGAUUUGUUACAUGGGUUGUAGAGGCGUUCUGUGUGUGUGUGUGUGUGUGUGUGUGUGUGUGUAUAUAUAUAUAUAUAUAUAUAUAUAUUACAGUUCAGCCCAAGCACUUGGACAUGUGUAAGGUAAUUUUUUUGUGUCUGGCUGUUAUCUUUAUAGAGUAACACAUCUCUUUUGAAAUAAUAAUUCAGUGAAGUUUCUUGCUUAAAAAGUAUACUAGGGACACAAUGUAGGAUUUUAAGCAUGAAUACUGCAUUUUAUGCACAAGGUGAAAAAGUGGCAUGCCCUGAUUGUGGCCUGGUUCACAGUCAAACACACGGCAUGCUGGUGCACAUUUAGUAUUAAACACGGUUAGUGACUAUGGAGCUGUUAAUGAUAAUCUGCCACAUUCAGAAAACAUGUUUCAUUAACUGUUAGUUCGAUCUUAAACUUGUUUGUGUGGAAUUACACCCACUUUGUUUAAACUGGGUUACUCCCACCUGAGUCUGCAUGGAAUUGCAGCCUGGAUGUAAUAAUUAUGUGUCCUAGUCCAGAAUAAGUUGGUCAUGUUUAAGUCCUGUGGAAAUUAAUGUGGCAUCAAGUUACUAAUGACUAACUUAUCCCACUGAUUUCAAUGGGACUUAAGCACAACUCAUUUUCUUUUACUAGAGACUGCCGUGUCUUGCUUGCAGGAAAUUAAAGGUAAAGGUACCCCUGACCGUUAGGUCCAGUCGCAGACGACUCUGGAGUUGCGGUGCUCAUCUUGAUCUGUAGGCUGAGGGAGCCGGCGUUUGUCCUCAGACAGCUUCCGGGUCAUGUGGCCAGCAUGACUAAGCCACUUCUGGCGAACCAGAGCAGUGCAUGGAAACACCGUUUACCUUCCCACCGGAGCAGUACCUCUUUAUCUACUUGCACUUUGAUGUGCUUUUGAACUGCUGGGUGGGCAGGAGCUGGGACCGAACAACGGGAGCUCACCCCGUUGUGGGGAUUCGAAGCGACCUUCUGAUCGGCAAGCCCUAGGCUCAGUGGUUUAGACCACAGCGCCACCCGUGUCCCCUUGCAGUAAAUUACUUCAUGAUUAAAUUCAAAAAGUGCAUCCAGUUAGUGUAAUUGUACUUGAGGAUAUUUUCCAAGCCACAGAAUGACAGAAAACCCUCGUUUUCAGAGGCAUGAAUCCAUAACGCCACCCAUUUAUGUUAGAUGAAUUCUUCAAGAACACUUGAGUUAAACAGUGAACCAACUGGCAUAGCCACAUUCAGUGGGGAACCCUUCCCCACAAACCAUUUGUUUUCCCUGCAUUUUAUCUGUCACAAUGUGGAUAUCUGAUAAGUGUGGCAGUCCAGUCAUGAUUAAGGCACCUUCAAGGAGAACAUUAGGUGAUGGAUUUAAUGUCAUAGAGUUGUCUAUGGUCCACCUUUUCCUCUUCAUCACUGUCCAUAAGGCAUUGGAGACAGCUGGUUUUAUAAUUAUGCCCUUUUUGAACAUAAGCAAUGGGGUGUUCAGUAUCAGGAGUUGCAUUUCCUGAUUGGGAAGAGAACAGGGAGCAUAAGAGUCCUAGCAGUUUUGGGGUUGCUGGUGCUGAUUCUCAUCCCAUGAAUAAUUUGCAUACUUGUCUUUUAAAACCUCUCUGGGAUAGUUACCCUAAUAUAUAUUGUGCAUUGGCCCUCAUUUGGUGCAGAGGGAUAAUGAAUAAGGCAGUAACUAAAAACUAAGGAGAUCUUGCCUUGUAUGUCCGUUUGAAACAGAAGCUUUUUGAUCAGUUUGUAAGGAAAUAAUGUGUUCGGCAUAUUGAACAAUACUUUAGAGCAGGGGUGUCAAACUCAAAUUCAUUGGGGGGCCGCAUCAGCAGUUUGGUCACCCUCAAAGGGCCGGUUCUAUCUGUAGGACUAUACAUCAUAUGUACUUACAGUACAGGAGAGAAGGGUUCAGGCAGCCGUUGGAUCUGUCACAUCACAGGAUGGCAUGCACUCAAUAUAAAAACAAGUGGAGGUUUCCUGAAUGCAUGUAAAGUGGAGGUUUCCUGUGUAGAACGGCCGGCACCACUAGAGGGCAGACGUUCUCUGGCUUGUAGGCUGCCGCGCAUGCGCUGAAGAGGCGGCUUUCUUGUGUAAAAAAAAAAAAAAGCGAGAAUAAAAGGUGAAGGCUGGUGGCCAGUGGCGGCUACACGGGCCACAUGACGAGGUCUGGCGGGCCGGAUUCGGCCCGCGGGCCUUGUGUUUGACACCCGUGCUUUAGAGACAAAUUUCUCUUUUCAUUUUUCAUUUUUGAGGCUUCCUAUUUUUUGUUAGUAACCAAAUAGCCAGUCGUUGCGCAUAAUUGUCUGUAUAGGGGUGUGUGUUCAUGUGGCUGUGUACAUGCACAUGCACAUUUAAAUAUUAUGCAACACGUAACAUUUUCUGGUAUAAAACCCACAAUGUGGGGAAAGUAUCAGUUUUGGUUAGUAAAAUGUCUAUUUUAAUUUUCUGUCCAGGAAACUGUAACAGAAAUGAAGGGGGGAAAUGACAAGUAUUUGAAGAAGCAGGAAAGCUGUGGCACCUUAAAGAUCACUAGCUUAUUUGUUGCAUGAAUUUAAAGCAGUGGGGGACAAGUGAACCUCCACAUAUUAUUGGACUCCCAGCUCCAGCCAGCCUGGUCGGUACAGAGAUGAUGGGACUCAUAGUCCAAACACUCUGAAUGUCCACAAGUUCUCUACCCCAGGGGUAGAGCUUACUUUUCAGAUGUAGUUUAUCAAGUUACGUCACUGAAACUGCCUACCCACAAGUUUUCAAAAAGCAGUACACUGGGGUUUCUUGAUCAGAAUUUGUGAUGAAACCAUGUAAGAGCCUUCCUUUGGCGCUGGUGCCAAAUGAAGUUAUAGAGUGCUCUUCAAUACGAAGCAUAUGCCUGGAGAAAAUACUUUAAAUACAAAAGUUUCAAACCAUAAGUGUGCAUUUUUGUAUGUAUAUGUGUGUGGAAGAGAGAUUGCUUGUAGAGAGAGCCAUUCUGCCUGCAGGCGGGGAAAGUUCUGAAAAUAUUGAUGUCAUUGUGUAAGAGAUCAAUGCUUUACUAACUUCUGUGUUUUGUUUCUGUGAUAUAACACUGUGCCACAGCGACAGUAUUGGGGAACCUUGUAAAUCCUCCCACUCAAUACAGUUGUAAAAUCUGAUGUUGGCGCCUAGAAUUUUGCUUCUUAUAACAUAUAUUUUUGUAAAACAUAAAGGAAAUAACAAACCCCUGCCAUUCAACCUCUUCCGCCAGCAAUGGAUAGGCAUAGUAUUUCUGAACUUGGAGAUUCAAUUUAGCAACAGGCCUGUGUGCAGAGGAGGGGGGCAGCUGGGUACAAUUGCUACAGGCCUCAGAGGGCAAAGUAGCCGCACAUGUCAUGUAUUUUGAGCAGUGUGCAUGUACACACACAGUGUUACAUAGUUUUGUGUGUGUGUGCAUGCAUGUGUGUACACUUGUUUUGUACAUAUACAUAUAUUUAUAAAAAUUGUGUGUAUGAAGUAUUCUGUUCUUUUCAAUGAAACAGAGAUUCAGAUAGGUACAAAACAAAGAAAGAAUGCCAUAUUUUAGUAUCACCAUGAUGUUCAUAAAUUCAAUUUUCUUAUUCCUGGUCCAGAGGAAAACUGAAUUUGCCCAUUUUUUUAAUCUUAUGCCCAUCUUUUCAAAGUACCUAUCAAUUUGUUUGUCAAAGGCGAUCUUCAUUAUUAGAAUGCUACCUUCUAUGUUGUAUUGUUUUGUUUUCCUCAUGAUGCUUUGUCACUGUUAAAGAAAUUAUUAAUUCAUCUGACAGAGGUCAGACACAAUAUGUGGGUUUUCACUGUGUGUCAAACAAUAUACUUGCUGCUGUUAUGGAUUCUUGUGUAAAAUGGAUAAUAAAGUGCUACUAAAUUUAAGUGGAAUAAUGCAUUACCUGCUGUAUGCUUGCUGAGUAAGCACUUAUUUCAUGAAGUCAAACAUUGCAGUUGUGUGUUUCAGGCUGUUUAAUACUCGUUCUAGGAAAGAAAAUCGGUGUGUUUUCAUAGUCUUGGAUACAUGAAUGGCAUGGCUGCUGACUUCAGCAAUGGAAAGCUUCCAUUUAAAUAGGACUCUGAAUUAACAAAUCACUGUCAUUACAAUCAAUAUAAAUUUACUGGGUAGGAGAGACAGUAUAUUGUGUAACAUGAUGAGUAUGUCAUGGUGCUUUCUUGGUGUCAAGCCUCUAAUAUGAUAACAUGUUUUUAGGGUUUGCCCAUUACUUGCUUGAUUGAAGGUUUAUUGUUUGGAAUAUGGCAGGUUUUAAAGUUACUGUAUUUCAGACACUAUACUUAUUUUUUAAUAGAUGGUGUUUAUAUUCCUCUUUGGGCUGAGUUGUAUGUUACAGUGGUCCCUUAGAAUCUUCUGAACAUUCUUCCACAAUCAUAGUGACUCCACAUGGCAGUUGUAACAUAUUAUUGUUGCUCAUCACAGAGGCUGCCGAGUGCUAUUUAGCCCACACUACACGUCGAAGUGCAAGUAGAUAAAUAGGUACCACUUCGGCGGGAAGGUAAACAGUGUUUCCGUGCGCUGCUCUGGUUCGCCAGAAGUGGCUUAGUCAGGAUGCCACAUGACCUGGAAGCUGUCUGCGGACAAACGCUGGCUCCCUCGGCCUAUAGAGCGAGAUGAGCGCUGCAACCCCAGAGUCAUCCGUGACUGGACCUAACGGUCAGGGGUACCUUUACCUUUACCUUUUUACACAUUCAUAAUGGCAGCUGGCACUGGCGUAGGGCUGACUCCAUGUGACUCAGGCAAUCCACACAGUGAGCUGCUUUUGACAUGUUAAAACUACUGUGGGAAGCUACCACCAUGCAAAAGUACUGCUAGCAGUUUUCACGGGGCACAUAAUAUAUGUUAGAAUCGGCCAUUAAAGAUUAAAUCAAGGGCAUAAGAAAUGGGACAGUUAUUUGGGCUCUUAAGUGUGGUUACUGUAAGCUUAAACUUUAAAAGAGCAACUGGGGAAUGGUGAAAGAAGUCAAUAAGGUAAUUAGAAUGAUUGCAGAGACUAAUUCCAGAUUGAUGGAAAUUCUAUGCCUUUUUAGCAGUGUUAAUUACCUAAGCACUUUGACCAGAUGUAGGCAUAUUUUUACUUCCAUUGGUGAGUUGGAGCAUAUGACCCCCGAGAGUAGUCUUAAAAACUCUCUCUGUCCAGCAGUUUAUAAUGCCAAGCUGCCUGAAAGUAGCAGGAAAAGGUGGAUAUUUCUAAAGGUGUUUUUUUAAAGUGUAGCUUUUGUUAUCUCACUGCUUCAAGGAAGGCAGUAUAAUUUUAUAAUAAUGCUUAGGAAUACAAUGCAGUUAACAUUCAUAUCAUGCUUAUGCAUGCUGGUAUAGAGAUUAUCUUGCCUACACUUCUAGUGGGUAUGGGACCAGACUUUUUUCCAAAGAGCUUAUCUAGCUAUUUGUUUAAUCAGUUUUUUAACUAGAGUGAACAGUGCGUAUGAUGCAAUCAUUAAGGAGUCUAACAUACAGUUUCCUCGCUGCAAGAAAGAAAAUUUGAUAGAGCUUAAUGCAUUGAGGUCUUCUCUGCUCCAGAAGCCUUGGGGCUUCAUGCAUUUGUAUCCAUAACCAUUGCUUCUCAGUUCCCUUGCAUAUAAUCACCGCGUCUACAGUGAUAAAAGUCUAUAAAUACAUUAGAGUCCAAGGAAGCUUCAGUAAAUGAGAAGAAAGCAACAGCUGUGGCUCCAGAAGUCCUCCCAUUUUGUUGACCAUGUUCAAUCUAGUACUUUAAAGAUAUCCAAAACCGACUUUGUAAGAGAUACUAGCAAAAUAAGAUCUUAAUUAUAUUUUACUCAAUAUCAUUGUGAUAUAAACCCAAGAAGAGUCAUACCUAUAUCCUAGAAGGAAGAAGGGAGGUAAAGUGAAUAUAUUGCACAGUUAAAGUAGCUUUCCUUAAUCUUACGGUAUAUCCAGCAACUUGUAGUCCAGAGAUCAAAUCCAGCCAGACUCGUCUCUCCCCUCUCCCCCAGUUGUGUAAUAGCCCUCUUCACUGAACACUUAGUUUUGUGUCAGUUUUUGUGGGAAAACAUAGCUGUUUCGUGUCUAGGCUUUUAACAUCUCUUCCAUUGACAUAGUUGUUACUGGAAUAGGAGGGCCCAAAAUGUUGUUUUAGUCAAAAUAUAUUAUCAUUCCUAAUAUAUAAAUAGAUUGGGGAUUGGUGUUUUAAAGAUAAAAUGCUAUAUAAUAACUUUCUCCUAUGAGAAAGUACCCAUGGAGGAAAGUGUAGAGCAAAAUUAAUUAUCAUUGCAUGUUGCUGAAAGGCAUUACUGGUAGUGAAAUUUUACUGCUAUAUCUCCAAAGUGGGGUGGUUUAUAGUUUUAGUCUCUAAACUUUAUUGGACAAAUAGCCAUUUCCUACUUUUAUUUCCAGAAUCCCCCCCCUUUUUUUACUAUGUUUACAUUCAGUCUCAUCUCAACUCAACCCAAACCAGAAUGGAUCCAGUUAGGUUCCUUGUGCCCCCCUCUUCACCACUCUUGUCCCAUAUUUAUCUUUAUGUGGCAACAGGUAGCGUUUCUAGUAGCCCUUAGAUGCUCUUAUGAGCAAACACAACUAUGUCCAGGAUACCUGGAAGCAUGGGAAAUAUAGCUUGUGUGGCUGGAAUCAGUGUUGAAGAGGAAAUGAAUUGGCAGGGAGAGCUCCAGUUUACUCUGAACCUAGUUUGGAUCCUGGAUUAUGAUGACAAAUGUCUAGAGCACAUUUAGUAAUAUGAUCCUGCCUCUCAUUCCAUGUGGAUAUGAGGGUGGGGUUUCUCAAAGCUGGUUUGCACUAGCUGUCACUUAGUAUUUUAAACUGCUUUGGAAUCUGAAAUCGGUGGUCUUCCUCAUCCCAGUUGCUGCCGCUGGUUGAUGAGCAACACAAUCCCAGUGUUACAUAGAGCUAGCCAGGCCUCUUGAACCCUGAACCACAGUUCAUGCCAAAUUUUCCCAAGUCAGCCUGCACACACAUCUUUCCUUUCCCAGUUUCCUUCUCCCACUCAUUAUCACAGCUCUUCUUCAUCCUCAAAUCAUAUAUAUCUUUCCACUGUUGUACUCCUUCUGCUUGUUCAGUUCCAAUUUCUCACCGUCCCCAUAGGAGAGAAUUGCUUUGAUGCGAUUGUGCCAGAUUUCAGAAAUUAUCCAUAGAAGUUGUUUAUGUAGGAGGGAGUUCUUGUAGUCUGACAGCUAAAACCAACUUAUUUCUUUCACUACAUGCCAGAGGAGGCGAUUGUUUUAUUGAUGAAUAUGGAAAAAGUGAAUAGUCCAGUGCUUUGUUCCAUUCCUCUAAUUUACGACACCAAUAAUAAUGGAUGAUGGAUGAGAUAUCCAAACAUUAAUAAAUAAUCUUAAAAGGUGUACUAAAUCAAAGAGGAAGAGACCAAGGAAUAAUCUCAUAUAAUGCUUCAAGAAGGGUAAGCUAAUUCUAGUGUCAUUAAUUCUGCUAUAUGCAACAAAUAAACAACACCCCAUUUAAAGUAGAUAUGCUGCCAAUAGGAUAAGAGCUGCAACAGUAUUGCCACCUUUUCUUGCAUUUUUGUUAAUGUAUGAACUGCUUUAAAACAGUAUAUCCAUAAAUCAAAAGUUUCCAGAGCUGGAUGGUAUUCUUGGGAAAAGGUGGCCAUGCAUUAGUUUAAUGUAACUUUUGCACCAUUGUUCUGUGUCUUUGAAAACUCCUUAUAUUUAAUACCUUAGAUGGAAAAUAGUAGAACUUUGUUGUGCAAAUGUCAUCAAAUUACAAUGAAUUUGACCACUUGAGUUAAUAAUUGAAACAGUGUUGAAGUGGCAGAUACAAUGAGAUAGCUCUUGCAACAAGUUGUGCAUCCCUCUGUAAGUUCUGUGAUGGCUUCAAAGAUUUUUUUGUCCUCAGCACUCAGUUAUUACCAUUCAGCCUAUGUCUUGCUAUUAUUUCCUUUUACUGGACCUGAUUUUUAAAAAAAUCCUAUAUAUGUCUACUCAAAAGUAAGUGCCAUAGGAUGUAAUAACACAGUUCUAACCAUGUCUAUAUACUCAGCAUCAAGCAUUGCUUCCCACCAUCAUAUGCUCAUUGUUUGCUUUUGAAAGACUGUUAUUCUUGCUAAUCAUUAGAAACACACACAUAGUUUAUGGAACUAUGCUGCUGUACAGUAUUUUAAAGAAUUAGAAAAAACACAAGAACCUAAGAAGCUGCCAUGGCCCAUCCUUCUCAGUAAUGUUCACACUGACUGGAAGAGGUUCUUCAGGGUUUUAGGUAGGAAGUAUUUCCCAACCCUUCCUAGAGAUGCCAGGGAUUGAACUUGCAUGCAAAGCAUGUGCUGCUACCACUGAACUACCCUUCCCCACAUUUUAUCUAAUAGCUUAAAUGCAAUUCCUGCUAAUACUAAGAUGCCACUUAAUUGCACCUAUCCUUUAAACUGAAAUUUAAUGUUUACUAUAUGAAAGACUUAAGAGGAUUCUUAGGAGAUGCAGCAUAUAUUUUGAAUGUCUUUAUGAACAGUUCCCACUGCUUAAACUAGAGCAGAAAACAGCAGUUUAGAAUGCCAUUUAGAUGUACUUAUGUAGCCCUCAACAUGUGACUGUAUUAUGGACGGCCUUAAGAAAACAGUAAAUAAAUAUAAAAUAGAUCUUCUGUAUCUGUAAGAACUCUGUUGUUUAGUAUGGCAGCACCAACACUUUGGAACUCCUUGCUUUUGGUAUCUAUUGUGUUUUACUCUUUCUGUAGGCUUUAAAUUAUGGCUGCAAUUUUUUUUUGUCAACUGCUUUGAUUUUUUUUUGCAGUAAAGCGGUAUAUAAAUUUUAUGAAAUAAAGAAAUAAAUAGAAAUCUUGUAUGUCUAAGAGACUAAGCUAAUCUUAGUAAACUCCACACAAAUAGUUUAAUAGUUUGGUCUACAAGGACUGUCCAGUGAGAUAGUCUAAAUUAUAGCAGAUUUGGAGCUGUUCAGUUUGCUUCCAUAAAUAUAGACAGGAAAAUUACAGGUAAUUUGGCAUGACCAUGCAGCAAAACACAUCUCACUUCCAAUAUUGAUUUUCCUUGUUGACAUGUGGAAAUCUGUUCAAUGGAUUAUGUAUAACAAAUAGUUUUUUGUAUGAUUGUUUCUUCAUUACGGUCCCCUAAAUAGUUCAGACUUUAUCCACAAAAGAAGUCCAGGAACUGUAAGAAUAGCCCUAAGCACCUUUGAAAUUCUACAAGUCUUGCUUUUAGGUUGCUGUUUACAAGAAACCAGGACCAGGUAACAAUUACAUUUCAAGGCACUUCCAUAAAAUAGAGAACUCUUAGAAUACAGAGAAUUCUUAGAAUAUCAGUAGUGGGAAAUAAUUCUAUUCACUGUAAUUAGUAUAGUUGGGAACAUGUUUGUCCCACUAUGUUUUGCAGUACAAUGCUUUGGAGCUCCAAUUUAGUAUACUAAAACAAAUCCUGAAUGAAUUUUGAUUUGUAACAUUCUACUGGUUGCCCUGGGACACGGGUGGUACUGUGGGUUAAACCACAGAGCCUAGGACUUGCCGAUCAGAAGGUCGGCGGUUCGAAUCCCCACAACGGGGUGAGCUCCCGUUGCUCGGUCGCUGCCCCUUCCAACCUAGCAGUUCGAAAGCACGUCAGAGUGGAAGUAGAUAAAUAGGUACCGCUCUGGCGGGAAGGUAAACGGCAUUUCUGUGUGCUGCUCUGGUUCGCCAGAAGCGGCUUAGUCAUGCUGGCCACAUGACCCGGAAGCUGUACACUGGCUCCUUUGGCCAGUAAAGCAAGAUGAGCACCGCAACCCCAGAGUCAGCCACGACUGGACCUAAUGGUCAGGGAUCCCUUUACCUUUACCUUACUGGUUGCCCCUGAUUGACACUACCAUUCAAGGAUGUGGAAGGUAUUGUUUUAAUUUUAAAUGGCGAGUGCAUUCAGAUAGUAAAAACUUGGUAACCUCUGUAUAUUUCCAAGGACUAUGAGCUUUAAACGUUGAGGAAGGAUUUAAAAGUCAGCCAAGCAUUUUGUCCUUCUCACAUUUUGUCUUCAUAACUGAAUGACUGCCAGUUUGCACAGAUUGUGUGUCAGUUUAAAUACAACAAACACACAUCAGUCUGCUUGAAAUCAUUCCACCAAAGACUUCUAAAAACUUUAGGUAGUCGGCAAACAGUAAUGGUUGUUUCACAUUAAGUUGCUUUGUAGAAUUAUAAAACAGCUUUUCGUAUGCUUUCAAAUAAAAUGUUGUCAUCCACUAAUGAAUGAGAUACCAUCUGUAAUAAUUAAGGUUAUUCCACUUGUUUUUCCCUGCAGCAAAACUUCUGAAGGUUUGAAGAAGAUAGUAAGAAAUCUACGAAGGAGGGCUGUAGCAGUAUUUGUAGCAGUAUUGUAAGUACUGCAUUGAAAAGAAUGUGAAUUAAAAAUAUUAUAAAGUGCCUGUCCAUAUAUAUUUGAUGAAAAAUUAGUUGUACAAAGGGAGCGCAUGGAAUGUAAGGGACAAGAUAUAUAGUAGCAGUUUUGUUAAUUUACAAAGAUAGCUCCAUUCUUAUGAAAUUUAAAGUGUAGCCUUUGCAGUGUAAUCAGGAAUUCACCAGUAUCACUGAAAAAAUAUCUUUUUAUCUAACAAAGAUUGAUCUACUUUAUAUACAUUUGUUUAUUUAAAACUAUCAGAAUUUAGAAAAUCAUUAUAGUUUUGUAGGGCUGUCAUUUGUUUUAGUGACUUAUUGUUUAGGUUAUUUUGCAGAAUUAUUUAUUUGCUGAUUUAUUUAUGUAUUUCAUUAUUUAUUUAUUUGAUUAUUUAGUAAAUUAUUUAUCUGAUGAAUUAUUAAUACAUCUUCAUGACAAGCUUUAAAUUAUUUAUAACUUAAUUUUGAUUUUAUUGCUUUUCGACGCUGCAUUGUUACUGACUAGGUUUUUUUUUUUUAAAUCCCCUUACUUGCUUCUUGAAAAUUAAAGUAUUAGCUUUGAGGCAAGUUUAUAUUCAUUGCAAGGCCAAUAGAUAGAUAUAUUUUCUGCAUAUGAAGUACUUCUCCUUGUAGGUACACAUUUUACAUGGCAUUUUGUAACUUGUGACUGCGUACUUACUUACCUGUUCACAAUCUUGCUUUUGCUGUUCCAUAGCUAUAUAAAGAUAAAUAUUUAACCUUUGGUGCAAAAGUGAACACAUUCUUCUUCUCCAUAGUUUACACAACUAGUGUACUUUCCUGUACACUUUCUAUAUGUGUUGGAUAUAGAGACACAUUCUCUGUUGCAGGAAAGAUUCUCUUGAUUCAACCCAUUAUACAGACAAUUGUUGCACUGUCAUUCAGUAAUUUGUUGAAGCUUCAUGAUUGCUUUCAGAACAUGCACUUGCUGCUAAGAGAAUAGGUGAAAGAUUUUCUGAGCUCAGUCAAACUUGAGUAGCCUCUUCUUUUUAAAUGGAGGUCUUGCUCAGUAAGUUUCAAACACUAACCUGCCCUACAAAGUGUCAUUCCUAAUGUCUUCUAAUGUUUACUGUGGAAUCACACCUAAUGUAGACAGUUCUAGCUCCACCAGUCUCUCCUUCCAUCUCUAAUAUCCCUUAAUACUUUUCUUUCUAUUUCUAAGAUGCUCUGCUUCCUGCAUUACACUAAUUUCGAUGCACGAUUUGGCCUCUGCAUACAGAGAGGGUAGGAUGCAGAUGCCCUUUGUUCACAUAGUGAGUCCAGGUGGUGUCUACACAGUCUCAGCACCCUGCUUUGCCUCCCUGGGGCAUUUUGCAUAUGGAGCCCCCUCCUGGUACGCCACAGCAAUGAUAAAUGCAUAAACACCCAGCAGGCUAUUACUAACAAUUGCUAGAUUACAGGGCAAGCUUCAUGCAUUGUUUGCUGCUCCUUCAACUCUGCAGAAAGUCUACUCGGAGCGAGAUCCUAGAAGGAAGAGGGGGCUUCAUGAGAAAGCACCAUCUUUCCAGGGGUGGAGCACAUAAAAUAUUGUGUUAAUAAUGGAAGAAAAGUUCAUACAGAAAGAAUGCUCAGAAAACUGACAUGUUUUUGGGCCCAGGGAAGAUCGAUGUCUACUGGUGUUUAAAGUGUCCUGAAUUGAUUGGACAGUAAAGAGGAGAUAAAUGGCAGGGAAAAGCCAGUGACGAGUAGGAUGGAGAUGUGUUCUAAGUAAAUCAUUCUGCAGAUGUUACCUGUGUGUGGGUUACUGGACAAGGAUGCAAAACGGCUCUUACCUUAAAUAUGAAUAAAUAGUUUGGUCUUGUUCGCAUGUCUCUAUAUAUCACUGCUAUGACUUCAGCUGCUGUAAAUGUUUUACAGUUAAUGCUAAACUUUUAAUUCACUUUAAAAUUCAGUAAGUCUGCUUAUUUUAAUACAGCCUUCCCAGCCUCUCUUUUUUGUAGGGGAAUGUAGUAUCUCCAUGCAAUGAGUAGUAAAAUGAUGAGGGCAAAGCUGUAGUUCUGAUAAAUGUGCUGUGUGCACAACAUGGCCUUUAUUCUGUGUUUAGUGCUUGAGAUGAAUUACUAUAGAAUUUAAAGUUUAACAGGGCAUGGGAAAGGAUGCAUUGUACAUUUCAAGUUGGGAUGCUGUUGCAGUACAGUAGAAAUGGCCUCUGUAGAUAUGUUUCACUAUAGAACUUAAAUUAUGCAUGUGUAUAUCCAAAUUCCUUAUUUUGAAAUAUUGAAUGUAUGAAUAUUUAAUUGGUAUCUUGCUUUAGUAUCUUCAUAUGCUUGCCUUAAAGGAAACUGUUUCCUUUGAUUUAUAUACAUGGAUAAAAAACUUGUAUAGAGUGUGUAUCAAUGGCUUUUCUCUCUCCUGUAUUAGAUGAACAGCAUUAGGCAAUGACAAGUUGGGGCCGGUUUCUUUCUUUUUGAUUGCUUAAGUUUUGUAAACCUUGUUCGUAACACCUUUAUGAACACCUUGGUUGCUUUUUACAUUAGUCUUUCAGAUUUGCUUUUUUUUAAAAAACCAACCACGUACUUACAAAGGUCAGAUACAUCGCAGCAUAUAACAGUAGAAUGUGUUGUAUUUUGUAGUUUAUGCCGAAGUGCAUCCCCAGUAAUAUACAUCUUUUUGGAAGUUUUUUAUUUAUCUUAACCUUUUCAUUUGUAUUUUUUUCACAAUAUAAAAAUGUUAUUGAAAAGGCCUGUAAAGCAUUGAUAUUAAAUAUUGCAAGUAUGCUCUGUCACUCACCUGUACUAGUAUUAAAUGCUUCCUGAAUGACAUAUUAUGAUAGUUCCAGGGGUAAUAUAAGGCAGCUUAUGCACUGGCCCUGAGAACAGCUAGUGAGAAGUGAAAGCACAGCCAAAGGUCACAUUAAACAAGAGUUCUGUCACACCCCAUUCAUUUACCCACCAAUUUGUGAGAAUAGCUGGUUACAUCUUGUGCUGUAUAAUUUUUAGGAAAGAUUGUGCUAUUUUUACUUACUGUGUUUUAAUGGCAUGUCAACCUUGGAUGCUACAGGUUAAAAAAAAAUCCAAUAAUGAUUUUCUACAAUAUUAUUCAAACACAUCUUAAUUCCAGCCUUGAAAAAAGGCCUGCGUAUAUACAUUGCAUGUGCCUAUGUAUAUACAGGGUGAUUCAUAAUAAUAAAUUCCAUUUACUAUAAAUGGAAACUGCAUACUUCAUUAUGAAUCACCCUGUAUACAUAGGUUUGCACAACAGGGCUUUUUUAAAAAACAAAAAAACAGCAACCUUGCUAAUUUCCUCCCCCCGCCCCUUUAAAGACAUAUUGUAAUUAAACUCUCCCAAGUUUAACCAACAUUUUGCAGUGCAGUACAGGAACUGAUAUAAUCACUUCAGUGCUAUUUUGUAAUUAAAACAAAUACAGUACUCCACUGUUUAUAUAUGUUUCCAAGGUGGAUCAAAAUGACUUGUGCAGAACCUUUGGACUGUAGGUACUGGGGUGCAGAGAAGUUCAAUGAGUUUCAUAUCAUGUAGCAGUUCUUUGGAGAAAAGAACUGAAACCACCUACUGGACAAUAGUAGGUCUCUCCAUGUAAUAAUUACAUGUGUAUUUCCUUUCCUGUAGUUUAAAUGUAAACUAUAAUUUUGCAAACUGCUGUACUUGACAGUUCAGGGGCCUAAAUGAUACUGUUUGCUAACUGUAUUAACUACAGAAAACAUCUGCAUGCAUCUAUAGUUUUUUAAAAUAUUAUUUUGCCAUGUCUGGUUUUCAAUUCCUUGCUUGUCUUGUAUUUAUAUAUUUUUAAUAGAUGAAAAUGACAAAAUAUUAUGAUGGUGGGCUUUCUGUGUGUCAGGGUCUAAGUCAUAGGUUAGUUUUAAGACAAAGCAGCCUCAUAAGUCAGAACUGAAGAGUAAGAGAGGACGAACCAGGAGGGAGGACCAAAGAGGAGCCCCAUAUUGUUUUGGCAAAGCUGAAUAGGAAGCUUUUUCUUAUACUCUUGGGUCAACUGCAUCUUAGUCCAUCUUAGUGGUUGGAGUAAGCACAGGGCCUGAGCGUACUUCAGAUAGAUUAUGUAACCUGCAGGUUUGUGGCUCAGCAUAAAGCACAGCUGCACCCAGAUUCAUUUCGUGUCACAACAACUCCUGAGGCUGUGGUAGAUUUUCAUCUGGUAGCUGCAUUGUAAACUACUGCACAGUCCUGUUACUAUGUGUAAAUGCUCCAACACAUUAGUUUGGGUAAGAUGCAAAUAAGCCCAAAUAAGGUUUAGUAUCUGGAUCCUGAGGGAUCCUUUUAAAACAGCUUGAUGGAUUUGAUUGCCUGCCACCUACCACCCUGAACAUUUCCCCCAUGCUCUGGAUUUUAUUGUCUUGUUGCCAUCAUUUUCCCUGUAUAGCAUCUGUGUCAUCCAGCUUCAGAAUCUGAAAUUUCAUCCUCUAUCCAGUGUUUUUAUGGUUAAUUUUGAACAGCUAUAUCGUAAGUGAUGCUCUUUGAUAUAGCUCGGUGCUUGAAUUUGGGGAAGGAGGUGAAAAUUAGAUACUUUUGUUUCAAAUUAGGGCAGACUCAAUUUAGCCUUUGGUGUAUUGACCUUCUUUAUACUCAUGCAAACUAUUUGCUAAUGAGCUUGAAUUAAUACAUUCACACUUCCACUGUAUUAUUUCGGUUAUCGAUCAUUACCAUGAAAAGUGAAAAGCAUUAAUGAAUGGUUAAUGUGGCAUAAUAUUAGGCAUGACCUAUCUUCAACAAAGUUUCUAGAUAUGCUAAUUGUUUAAUUAUGUGUACUUCCUUACUGCAAGGGUAGGGCAAGUAGUGUUGUAAGCAUGGCAAUGCUCCAUAUACUUUUCUUUCUUAAAAACUUGUAGUGGCAGUCUAAGCCGAUGGUUAUUACUGAUUUUGGAGGUAAUAGUGGCUGUUUCCAUUUUCUAGUAUUACCCAGGCCAGGGCUCUUUGAAGCUGGAAGUGUCAGCAAAUGGGCACUUUGAGAUAUGGUUUCCUCUUCCAGGGCAUAUGUCCAGUAUAACCUCUGCUGGCAUAAGGCUUUGGUUGUUAGAUACUUUUCAGCUAAUUAUGUGCCAGAAUGAAAACGGGAAAACAAAAAAGUGACAAUUAAUCAUGAGUUGUGUGCGUGGCUUUCUGUAACCUGGACCUCUUGAACAUAACAAUGUCUUGUCAAGUCACUUUUAUUGCAUUUAGCCAUACACCAUUUCAUUGAAACCCUGACCCAGACAGGAUAGUUUAAUAAAAUGCACAGUAAAAUAUUAGACUAAGAGACCGCCUGCAUAAAACAUCCAAUUUAUUAACAAAAAGUUGUUGUUGUUUGUUGCAUGAAAGCUACAAAUACUACCAAUUGUUAUUUACUUAUGAAACCUACAAAUACAAUCAAUUGCAGACAACCUAUAUAUAAAAGGGGCAGAUGGAGCCCAUUAACCUGGGAAGGUAGUCCAUGGAGAAGGAAAACUCUUAUCCUGAACCUCCGCAGCUUUGUGGGAAACCUUUGGGAGAAAAAAAGGCUUAGGAGUAAACCCUACACAAAUCCAGAGUGGAAUCCCUAAGACUGUUGGAUGCUGCCUUGUAUGCCUCCUUCUGGCAUCUCCUGCAUCCAAGCUGGUGCCAAAUGUACUGCUUUCCUUUCCUGUGGAAGCAUCAGCAAGGUCAAGAGGGGUGUCUUGUCAUUUAGUCAGCCCAUGACCUUCAUACACACUGCCCAGGCUAGCAUCCCAGGGAGUUCACUCUGAUGCUGCUAACUCAGCGGUUUGACUUCACCCCCAGAGGCACACUCCAUUCUCUAUUGAGACAGGCGGAUACCAACAACAUAAUAUGUAAGUACAAAGAAUACAGAAACAGUGUUCUAAUUGGCAGGACAUAGUACACAUAGUCCCCAGCUAAAGGGAGAUGCUCAUGAAGUUGUACUUCUUUCUGACACAACCAUCCAUUGAACAUUGGUGAGGCUUGUAAAUAAGAUAAGCUUGGAAAUGCAAGGACUGACUUGUUGGAUAGUGGCCUUGCAUAAGUCACUUGGUCAAACUUUUUGGCUGAAAAGCAGGAUAUAAAUGUUUUAUAUAAAUAAUAAAUGAAUAACCUUUUACAUCUCUCCUUUUCGUGAGGAUUUCCUCUUAACAAACCUUAAUUCUUAUGAACAAUGCACAUAAUUUGCAGGCUCUCUUGUCUAUGUGUGUCUGCUGUAUUUUGAAUUCUGUUAAGCUUAAUGGGUCAGAUCCAGAGGUUCUCUUUUUCUGAGGAAAGGACUCUUCCUCCAGUGGAGCAAAGGGAACUUUUGGAUCCAAUGCAACAGAAGCUUAGGUAGAAUCCAAGCAGAAAGAGUGGGCCAGUGAAGUAAACAGAAAUGAGAAGCAACAUAAUUGUAAUGAAGAAUGGGAAAGAUUCAGCAAGUAGUAGACCUGAUAGGAUCUUGGGGAGCACACAGGGGUAGCAAGAGAAGGAGGAAGAUGGAAAUUUAUUAGCAGAAACCUUGAAGUACCAGCCAUGAAGAUUGAACAGGAACCAGGAAAUAAUGCGGCAAAGGGUAGAGGGAAACCGCAAAUGAAGAAUAUUGUAAACUACAGUUUCAAAAAGCAAGAAAAACAGGAUAGGAAAAAACGACAUUGUAAGGCACUGUCCAUGUUCUAGACCCACAGUGCCAAAGUAGUGUAAUAAUGUCAUUGCAGAAGGCGUGAGUCUUCACAGUUUGAAGCAUCAGAGGAUGCUAAGGUCUAAUGAGUUCCUUGGUCUAGUUCCUUGUGAUUCUGUUAAUAGUUAGAACUGCAUAUCUGCAACCGCAGGUUGGCUAAUGUGGAAUUUGGCGGCCUCCUGAAUCUUCCUCAUCUGCUUUGUGGAUAAGAAAGUAUGCUUGGCACCAGACAGCGUUUCUUCUUGCUAUACUGAAAUUUGUCUUUAUUUUCCUAAUGAGCCAGUUGUCUUUGGCAGGGUAGUUGUCCCCAGUUUCCUUUCAAACUAAAAUUUCACGUGUAUAUUAAAAUACAUAAUGCUGGAGGAUAUGCCAGAGAAACAAUAUGAAUACAGUAUUGCUGAAUACGUGGGGCAUAGGAUUUGUAGAAUGAAAGUUAAAAUAGAUGGUUCUGCUCAUUUACAAGAAAAGUCACCAGACAGCAUUGUUUGUCAGUCAACAAGCCUUUGAGCUGACAGUCAUUGCAGCAAUGCUUCAUUAAGAAUUGAAAGGUGCCUUUUGCAUGUUAGAAUUAAAACGGGUGACACUAAUGCAGUACCUACUACUCCUGAGUUAAAUUCUAUGGAAUGUUUUGGGAGUUGGUGGCAAACAUUGCACAUAUUCUUUGGAAUGACAAAGAGAAUGGAUGAGGUGUUUGAAAAGGGGUGGUAGCGGAAAUCCUCCUGUUAAUGGCUUGUACCAAACUUAAGAUCUGUCCCUUGUUUAAAAAGCGGAAGAAGUAAAUAACAGUUAACAUUCGUUCCUGAUUGAAAGUCUCAGGAGGAAAAUGUUGAGGAAGCAUGUCAAGUUAAGAAGAAACAAUGAGCAUAAGAUUUGUCAUCUUAAGGACAUAAUCCUGGCAGUCUAGGUUGGUUGAUGAUAUGAUAGUGUGAUAAACUCUUUUGAAAGCAGUAGCAAUACAGUGGUAGCUCUAGUUGUGGACAAUCCGUUUUGGGGUGCUGUUCACACCCCGAAAAGUCCGCAACUAGAGCGCCUCUUCUGUGCAUGUGUGCGGCGCGAUUGAGCAGAUCGCUUCUGCUCAUGCGCAAAGUGCGUAGAUCGCUUCUGUGCAUGCGUGGGUGGCGAACCCAGAAGUGUUUCCAGGUUUGUUGCGUUCAUAAGCUGAAAGAGCGGGACACAACACGAGGUAUGACUACUUGUGCUACAUGCUGUGUGUAGUCUUGAUUACAUGAACAAUAUUUGCUGCUGAAAUCUGAGGUUUUAUGCGCAUGUGAAAAUGUUAAGAAAAUGCAGCAGUCUAGAUAAUGAAUUAUUGGAUUGGUCAUGUUUCAGAAAAUUCACGUAUAUUUCCUUAUUGGGUUACUCUUGGCCGUACAGUGGUACCUCUGGUUGUGAACGGGAUCCGUUCUGGAGCCCUGUUUGCAACAUGAGCAGAAUGCAGCCCGCGUCUGCAUGCGUGGGUUGCAAUUUGCCGCUUCUGUGCAUGUGCGCAAUGUCAUUUUGCACGUCUGUGCAUGUGUGAGUGGCAAAACCUGGAAGUAUCCAUUUCUGGUACUUCUGGGUCGCCGUGGGACACAGCCUGAAAUCGCGCAACCUGAAGCAUACGUAACAAGAGGUAUGACUGUACUUUGUUUCCAAACUGAAUCCAGCCACCCAGUGUAGCAUCUCCUGUUAGUUUUUUUCUUUGGCACUGCGUAGAAUCUGUGAGUCAGGAAUGUUAUCCACCUAUAGUACAAAUAAAGUAAUAAAAAUUAAUUAUAGGUAGUAUGAAUUAGUGAGGUUCACACUGUAUUAAGGAGAUCGGUGAAGGUUGAGAGCAACAUUUAAUCAUGAAGAAUUGCUUGCACUUUGUACAAUUUGUUUUAGAUUUAUGUAUUUGUUACGUGUCUAAGAGACCUUUUGGGAAUUUGCUUAUCUACUAAAUCUAUUAUAUUUGCAGUAUUAGUUGUGGUGCCCGACAAUGAGAGCUAAGGUCUCUCGUACUUCAUAUGUCACUACCAAUUUUAUGAUGACUCUAAUAUUGUGUGAAGCAAAUGAUAGCAGAAAUCCCACCACAUCCUGACCAUUUCAGAGAAGGACAAGCACAUAUGAUCAAAUCAUGAGCAUCUGUCACAUCAUUGAAAAAUUUAGGGAGUUGAGUCAUUCAUUGAUAAUGUGCUUCAUUGGCUAUGCAAAAAAAAUUUGAUACCAUCUGACAUGACCAUCUUUAGAGGAUACUUGCUGACAUGAGGAUUCCAAAAUAUCUUACUGAACUUUCUUGCAUGUUUGUUUGGUUUUUUUUGCAGGGGAGGUGGGCGCGGGGAUGGCAUUGACCACAGAUUUUGUUGCAAAUGGCAGCAAGUAAAAGCAAGUAGUUUCCCACAGGACAGCAAAAAAAUGGCAUGUCAUCAGCAAUCCUUUUUUUUUUUAAAAUGAUAUUUAUUGAAAAUUUUUAAAAUUACAGAAAAAAACACAGCAGAAAAAGAAAAAAGAGAAAACAAACCACAUCAAACAAUGCAGAUUCAAAAAACAAAAAUACACCACAAACAGAUAAAAACAAAUCCAUCAUUCUCGAAUCCUCAACUUUCAUUACCUUCUUUCUUUGACCUCCUCCUCCUCCCUUUUUUUGUAUCCUAGUUAUUAAUUAUCGCAGCAAAUCCUUUCCAUAUUUCAUAAUAUUCUGUCAUUACAUUACCUUAAUCUAUUUUCAUCUUAUCUUAUAGAAAACCUUAAAACUUAAAACUUAAAUCUUAUUUUUACCAACUUCUCAUAACCAUAAUAUUCUUACCUAAUUCUUUAAACAUUUUUGCUAGAGCCAAGUAAUUUCGUUCCAACAUUUUUCUAACAUUCAUCAAUUUUAU